UGGGGAAUAUUGCACAAUGGGCGCAAGCCUGAUGCAGCCAUGCCGCGUGUGUGAAGAAGGCCUUCGGGUUGUAAAGCACUUUCAGCGAGGAGGAAGGUGGUGAACUUAAUACGUUCAUCAAUUGACGUUACUCGCAGAAGAAGCACCGGCUAACUCCGUGCCAGCAGCCGCGGUAAUACGGAGGGUGCAAGCGUUAAUCGGAAUUACUGGGCGUAAAGCGCACGCAGGCGGUUUGUUAAGUCAGAUGUGAAAUCCCCGGGCUCAACCUGGGAACUGCAUUUGAAACUGGCAAGCUAGAGUCUCGUAGAGGGGGGUAGAAUUCCAGGUGUAGCGGUGAAAUGCGUAGAGAUCUGGAGGAAUACCGGUGGCGAAGGCGGCCCCCUGGACGAAGACUGACGCUCAGGUGCGAAAGCGUGGGGAGCAAACAGAUUAGAUACCCUGGUAGUCCACGCUGUAAACGAUGUCGAUUUUGGAGGUUGUGCCCCUUGAGGCGUGGNUUCCGGAGCUAA
rnacentral:rRNA from 1 species